CGUCCUUUAUUUUCCAUGUCAAUUUUAGAAACAGGCUUAUUAGCUUCUACAGAAACACAGACCAGAGGCUGCCAAAUUCCCCGUGAUAAAGCUGUUCCAAAUUUCGGUUACCAGAAGACUCCGCUGUCCUAUGAAGGGGCAGCAGCAUGGCCAGCAGUGAUGUGUAGGUCACAUUCCAGACUCCUGGGCUCCCGUUGGUCCUCACAGCAAAGGGCCACAGUCGCCCACUGCUAAUGAGAGUACCUACAGCUCCACCAUCGAUGUCCUGCAUCCGGGUGAGAAAGUCCCAGUUGCUGGGCAUCUGUGACAAGGGCACACAGGCACCAUAGAGUUACGGUGAAAUAUCUAAUUGAGGCAUUCUCCAACUUGUGAUGUGAAAAAAGGAGGAAAAGUCCAAUCAACUCAUAAACCAGCGUCUCUGCUGUCAGCCACUGAGAGCUCAGCCCAGCUCUGCCUCAGCCUCAGCGGCCUGAGCACACAGACUUGGGGGGCCAUGAAACAAGAGCCUUAACUGUGGCUACAAAGAGUCAGGGGAGCCAAGGUGUGACAAAGGAUGGUGGGACAGAGGGAAGAAGGAGGUGGGAGGAGGGGGGAGGGAGUGAGGGUGAGAGGGGGUGGGGUGCAUGCACUGAGAUGUCUGCAUGGUGACUGUGACUCCUAGGUCACCUUGCUCAUGAAAGGUUUCAAGACGAAGAAAAAUUU
rnacentral:sRNA from 1 species